GAGAGGGAGAGAGGAUAAGAUCAAGCCAUUUUGCAACUUAAUCCAUUAAUUUUGCUAUUUGCAAUAUGGUCCCUCAUAAUGAAAUAUUGGCCAAAUUUAUCCGUUUUCGCGUCAAUUUCGCGCCAAAACGGUUUCACCUCAUUUCCACCCUCUUUAUCAAAAGUUCGCAUAUUACAAUUAAAUAUGAUCUAAAUCAUUUAAAACUUCUAGAAAAUAAUUUUUUUAAUUUUUUAAAUUAUUAUAAAGUUUAUAAAGUGGGCAUAAAAUGAAAGGCCAAAAUUGAACAACGACCUAAAAAUGGAUGAUCGGAUCCUUCAAUGUAAGAUCAGAGUUAUUAAUCUUUAUCUAGAUAGUGAAUAGAAUUUUUUUAUAAAAAUUCAACUAAUUUUGAUUCUUUUACGCUAUUAAACUAACAAAGAUCCCAUACCGACCAUUAAAAGUUAUUAAUUUUGAGAUAUUUUGAUCGUAAGGUAAUGAUGUAGAAAAAUUAUGAAAUUUGAUUUCUAUAAGUUUCAAAUACUCUAAAUCAUAUUUAAUGGUAUGGAUCGUUGAUUUAGAUGUGUUAUCAUCAAAAACAACUUAUGAAUAUAAAGAUGAUCGUACUCAUAAGAGUAUAAUAACCAGACUCUAUAUAUAUAGGGACAUACAUCUAUGCUAUAGAUAGGACAAAUCCUUUGUGCUACCCACUCUAUGUUUGAUGAUCAAGCUUUCGAAUCAUCGAUUGACGCCAUUAAACAUAAUUUAGAACAUUCGAAUAAUCUAGCAAUCAUAUAUAUUGUAAUAAUUAUACAUAGAUAAUAUAUAAUAUAUAUAAUAGAAGAAAAUAAUAUAAAAUAAAUUUUCAUUUAUCUUCUUCUUUCAACCAAACAAAUGUGGGUAGAAAACUUUUUUUCCCCUACCAGCCAAAUAAAUGUCAUUUAUAGCCAGCUCCUGAAAGAGUUCGAGAGCUCUCAGCAUUUGGAUUGACGAAUUUCUAGAGUCAACGUAAUUCAAAUGCAAUGGUAUUUGAGUUUUCUUGAAGUGUAGUUUUUUUUUAUUGCUUGUUUUGAUGUAACUCAUACUGUCUGAAAGUUAAAUUCAAUAAUUUUUUUCUAUUUGUUUUGGUAUAACUUGAUGCUGGUGAUAUUAAUGUUUUGAGUUCUAUUAUUUAUUUUGAUCUAAGUAAAUGGAUCUUGUUACCUUCUAAAUAUAGUGAUAAACUUAUUCAUAUAAAAUCCAAUCUAUUAAAUAAUUAAAUCCCACAUUAUUUUUAGAAGUAAUCAAUUACAUAAAAUCCCUUUGUCAAUACCCAUUUUUCACUUUCCCUCCCUGUCAUUUAGAAACCUAUACUUUGCCCCCUUAUAAAAUAAAAAAAUAUUCACAAUGGGUACGGUGUUAACUGUGAUGACAAAAUGACCAAUUCGCCCUUCACCAUUUUUGUUUCCUCCCUAAUCUUGCUCAUCCACUGCCUCUCCUUUUUCAUUUUUCGCACCUCAAUCGGCCGCAGUUCGUCUUCAUUUUCUUCUCCACAUACUCUUUUUUCCUCCUGCACCCUCGUCGCCCCUCCAUUUCGGCGACAGUAGAGAGAAAAUUGAGGUGGGCAUGGAUAGAGAGGUGGGCAAGGGCAAGGGCGAAGGCGAGGUAGUGGAGGAGGGCGAGGGGAUGUUUAUGGGCACGAACAAAGAUGUAGGUGAGGGCGAGGCAGCGGAGAAGGGCGAGGUGGCGAGGAAAGAGGCGACAAUGUUGAGGAGAAGAGGCUGAGAGUAUUUUUGGUAUAAAAAAAUAUAAUAACAUUUUAUAAACGGAAUCCUAACGGAGCGCUAACGGUAGGGCGUGAAGUGAAUAUUUUUUAUUUACAAGGACGCAAAGUGUAGGUUUUUAAAUGACAAGGGGAACGUAAAAAAGCAGAUAUUAACAGGAGGGUUUUUUGUAAUUUAGUUGUCACGCCCCGCGACCACCACUUUGGUCGGUUCGGGUACGUCUACAGACGCUGAACGGACAGAAACUCCCCUGUCCACCCAAGGCUCCACAACAACAAAGCAUGUAUAAA
rnacentral:lncRNA from 1 species